rnacentral:tRNA from 1 species
GGCCUUGUAGCUCAGUUGGCUAGAGCGUUGGUUGUACUUAAGUGGUUCCCUUGCCAGCAUGGGUUUGAAUCCAUUUGAGGCCA